rnacentral:rRNA from 1 species
GACGAACGCUGGCGGCGCGCUUAACACAUGCAAGUCGAGCGAUGAAAUUUCGACAGAUCCCUUCGGGGUGAAGAUGAAAUGGAUUAGCGGCGGACGGGUGAGUAACACGUGAGUAACCUGCCUUUGACAUUGGGAUAGCCUCGGGAAACUGGGAUUAAUACCAAAUGACACUAACUGAUCACAUGAUCAAUUAGUCAAAGAAAUUCGGUCAAAGAUGGACUCGCGGCUGAUUAGCUAGUUGGUGAGGUAACGGCCCACCAAGGCGACGAUCAGUAGCCGGCCUGAGAGGGUGACCGGCCCAAUGGGACUGGGGCCCCGGCCCAACUCCCUCCGGGAGCAGGAGGGGGGAAAAAUUCACAAUGGGGGAAACCCUGAUGCAGCGACGCCGCGUGAGCGAAGAAGGCCUUCGGGUCGUAAAGCUCUUUUAUGAGGGAAGAUAAUGACGGUACCUCAAGAAAAAGCCCCGGCUAACUACGU